rnacentral:rRNA from 1 species
UUGGAGGGCAAGUCUGGUGCCAGCAGCCGCGGUAAUUCCAGCUCCAAUAGCGUAUAUUAAAGUUGUUGCAGUUAAAAAGCUCGUAGUUGAAUUUCGGGGUCAGUAGAUUGGUCGUGCCACUGGUAUGUACUGGUCUUACUGGCUCCUCCUUCCUGAUGAACCGUAAUGCCAUUAAUUUGGUGUUGCGGGGAGACUGGACUGUUACUUUGAAAAAAUUAGAGUGUUUAAAGCAGGCUAACGCUUGAAUACAUUAGCAUGGAAUAAUGAAAUAGGACGUUCGAUCUUAUUUUGUUGGUUUCCAGGAUUGACGUAAUGAUUAAUAGGGAUAGUUGGGGGCAUUAGUAUUCAAUUGUCAGAGGUGAAAUUCUUGGAUUUAUUGAAGACUAACUACUGCGAAAGCAUUUGCCAAGGAUGUUUUCAUUAAUCAGGAACGAAAGUUAGGGGAUCGAAGACGAUCAGAUACCGUCGUAGUCUUAACCAUAAACUAUGCCGACUAGGGAUCGGACGGUGUUACUUAUUGACCCGUUCGGCGCCUUACGGGAAA